AACGAACGCUGGCGGCGCGCCUAACACAUGCAAGUCGAACGAGAAGGCGUAGCAAUACGCUUGUAGAGUGGCGAACGGGUGAGUAAUACGUGGGUGACCUACCCUCGAGUGGGGAAUAACCCGCCGAAGGCGGGCUAAUGCCGCGUACGCUUCCGUCCUCACGGGGACGGAAGGAAAGCUGUACCGUGGGUACGGCGCUCAAGGAUGGGCUCACGUCCUAUCAGCUUGUUGGUAGGGUAACGGCCACCAAGGCUACGACGGGUAGCUGGUCUGAGAGGACGAUCAGCCACACUGGCACUGCGACACGGGCCAGACUCCUACGGGAGGCAGCAGUGAGGAAUAUUGCGCAAUGGGCGAAAGCCUGACGCAGCGACGCCGCC
rnacentral:rRNA from 1 species